rnacentral:rRNA from 1 species
AGUUCGAUUCUGGCUCAGAUUGAACGCUGGCGGGAUGCUUUUACACAUGCAAGUCGAACGGCAGCACGAAUUUCGGUCUGGUGGCGAGUGGCGAACGGGUGAGUAAUGUAUCGGAACGUGCCUAGUAGCGGGGGAUAACUACGCGAAAAGCGUAGCUAAUACCGCAUACGCCCUUCGGGGAAAGCGGGGACCUUCGGGCCUUCGCACUAUUAGAGCGCCGAUAUCGGAUUAGCUAGUUGGUGGGGUAACGGCUCACACUAGAUAUGACGAUCCGUAGCUGGUUUGAGAGGACGACCAGCCACACUGGGACUGAGACACGGCCCAGACUCCUACGGAGGCAGCAGUGGGGAAUUUUGGACAAUGGGGAAACCCUGAUCCAGCCAUCUCGCGUGUGCGAUGAAGGCCUUCGCUUGUAAAGCACUUUUGGCAGGAGGCGUUGAAACGGCACGGGAUAAUACCCCGUGCAACUGACGGUACCUUCCGUAGAAUAAGCACCGGCUAACUACGCGCCAGCAGCCGCGGUAAUACGUAGGGUGCAAGCGUUAAUCGGAAUUACUGGGCGUAAAGCGUGCGCAGGCGGUUCGGAAAGAAAGAUGUGAAAUCCCAGAGCUUAACUUUGGAACUGCAUUUUUAACUACCGAGCUAGAGUGUGUCAGAGGGAGGUGGAAUUCCGCGUGUAGCAGUGAAAUGCGUAGAUAUGCGGAGGAACACCGAUGGCGAAGGCAGCCUCCUGGGAUAACACUGACGCUCAUGGCAUGAAAGCGUGGGAGCAACAGGAUUAGAUACCCUGGUAGUCCACGCCCUAAACGAUGUCAACUAGCUGUUGGGGCUUCCGGGCCUUGGUAGCGCAGCUAACGCGGGUGAAGUUGACCGCCUGGGGAGUAUACGGUCGCAAGAUUAAAACUCAAAGGAAUUGACGGGGACUCCGCACAAGCGCGUGGAUGAUGUGGAUUAAUUCGAUGCAACGCGAAAAACCUUACCUACUCCUUGACAUGUCUGGAAUCCCGAAGAGAUUUGGGAGUGCUCGCAAGAGAACCGGAACACAGGUGCUGCAUGGCUGUCGUCAGCUCGUGUCGUGAGAUGUUGGGUUAAGUCCUGCAACGAGCGCAACCUUUGUCAUUAGUUGCUACGAAAGGGCACUCUAUCGAGACUGCCGGUGACAAACUGGAGGAAGGUGGGGAUGACGUCAAGUCCUCAUGGCCCUUAUGGGUAGGGCUUUCAGCACGUCAUACAAUGGUCGGGACAGAGGGUCGCCAACCCGCGAGGGGGAGCCAAUCCCAGAAACCCGAUCGUAGUCCGGAUCGCAGUCUGCAACUCGACUGUAAGUCGGAAUCGCUAGUAAUCGCGGAUCAGCAUGUCGCGGUGAAUACGUUCCUGGAACGGUAAGACACCGCCCGUCACACUGGUAUGGGAGUGGGUUUUACCAGAAGUAGUUAGCCUAACCGUAAGGAGGGCGAUUACCACGGUAGGAUCUUAUGACUGGGGUGAAGUCGAACAAGGUAG